CCAGUUCAGCACCAAAUUAUCUCGAUGCACCAUUUCAACACCCGUGUCAGAUUCACAAGGCAGGCGUCGAAUGAAUUCCCUACCACUGAGAAGUCGUCCAUGAACACCUCCAUUAUAUCUUCAACCAUAUCAGUGAAAAUGGCCAUCAUGCACCGUUGGGAUGUGGCGGGUGCAUUGCAAAGGCCAAAUGGCGUCCUCCUGAAGGCAUAAAUACCAUAAGGGCAUGUGAAGGAGGUCUUCUCUCGGUCCUCAGGUGCAAUAAAGAUAUGGUUGUACCUUGAGUACCCGUCAAGAAAGCAGAAAUGUGACCUCCCUGCCAAUCUAUCCAGCAUCUGAUAAAUGAAGGAAGUGGGAAGUGGUCUUUCCGGGUGAAAAGAUUUAGCUUUUUAUAAUCCAUACAUAUUCUCCAACCAGUGACAGUUCUUGUUGAGAUUAGUUCAUUUUUGUCAUUCUUCACAACCGUCAUGCCACCCUUCUUAGGCACACAUUGAACUGGGCUAACCCAGCUGCUGUCAGAAAUUGGGAAAAUGAUUCCCGUAUCCAACCACUUUAUUACUUCCUUCUUCACCACUUCCUUCGUAUUCGGGUUCAGUCUCCUCUGAUGUUCUCUGGAAGGUCUGUGUCCCUCUUCCAGCAGGAUCUUGUGCACACAAUAAGCGGGGCUGAUCACCUUAAUGUCUGCCAUGGUCCACCCAACGGCAGUAUUGCAUUCCUUCAGUACCUUUAAAAGCUUUUGCACCUGCACAUCAAGCAAACUAGAGGAGAUAAUAAACCACUUUAUUACUUCCUUCUUCAACACUUCCUUCAUAUUCGAGUUCAGCCUCCUCUGAUGUUCCUUGGAAAUCUGUGUCCCUCUUCUAGCAGGAUCUUGUGCAUACAAUAAGUGGGGUUUAUCCCCUUGAUGUCUGUCAUGGUCCACCCAAUGACAGUUUUGCAUUCCUUCAGUACCUGUAAAAGCUGUUGCACAUGCACAUCUAGCAAACCAGAUGAGUGGAGUCACGUCCCAGAAAUUCAUACCUGAGGUCGGCUGGCAAGGGCUUUAGCUCCACAUCCUCGUCCCUACGAGGAAGUUGCUCCUCAAAAAUAUUAACCCUGCUCUGAGCUUGCUACACUAAAAGCUCCUGCCUCGCCACCUCCUCAACCAACUAUUGUUAUCUAAUGAUGCUUUGGAGAAUUCAUUUGGGAAUCCAAGUGGAAUGGCCAAAGAAGCCAUAGGAAGUAACCAAUAUUUCAUUACCCAACAUGACAGGACUAAUCCAAAUAUUCAUUACCCAAUGUGGAAUAUUCUAGGUUUAUUGUUCUCAAAUUAUGUAGAGUUGUAAUUAUCAGUAAACACCAUCAGAUGUAGUAUCCAUUGCAAAUACCACAGACAAAGCUUGCAUCUUGGCUAUCAUCAUUCGGCCUUUUAACAAAAUAAAUGAUUCCUCAUUCAAUUAUCAAGUUGUAAAGUUGAAACAGUUGGUGCUCAUAUUAUAUGUCUAAUACCUAUCCUACUAAUUUACAUCACUUUUUUUUUCCUUCAAAACUUAGGAGCUUGACCUUCACGUAGCCUGCAGGUUGAGUCACUUAGUUUCGACUACAUAAACACAAAUCCUCUUAUAAGCUUCUUUAAGAAAGCUG
rnacentral:lncRNA from 1 species